CCUCGGGCUUGAAUGAACAGUAAGCAAGAUCUUGACCAAGCCAGAUUAUUAGACCCAUCUAACUUAAUAGGACUAAAAUUCAAAGAGGGAUUAUCGCCAAGGAUUUCAUUGCUCCUGUUGCUACUGCUACCAGUAAAUUGCUUCUUUUCUAUCAUUUUUUUUAAUACUACUUCAAGACCCCCUCCAAAAAAAAAAUCAGUCGGAUCAUACGCAAUGCCCAAAUUUUCACUAAAAAACUUUCAAAGCCAAAUGUGAUCUCCAGCAGCCAAGCAAUCCUCAACAGCGACAAUCAGAGCUAGAGCCUAUAUUUGUCACAAACCACGGAGCCGAUACACCAGUGAGAGUAGCUAACAGGAAUGGUAGGUAUGACAGUAGAACGGCAUCGGCAACAAAAAUCUCUCAACGGUGACAUGCACGAGAUGAAUAGAUUGCCGAUGCAGUG
rnacentral:lncRNA from 1 species